rnacentral:rRNA from 1 species
CCCUUAGAUGUCCGGGGCCGCACGCGCGCUACAAUGGAUGAAUCAACGCGUCAUCCUGGCCCGAAAGGGUUGGGGAACCGCUGAACCUCAUCCGUGGUUGGGAUUGGGGUUUGUAAUUAUUCCCCAUGAACUAGGAAUUCCCAGUAAGCGCGAGUCAUCAGCUCGUAUUGAUUACGUCCCUGCCCUUUGUACACGCCGCCCGUCGCUACUACCGAUUGAAUGGUUUAGUGAGACCCUCGGAUUCGUCCCAGCAGGGUGGUUUACCACUUGGCUGGUGUGCGGAGAAGACGGUCGAACUUGAUCAUUUAGAGGAAGUAAAAGUCGUAACA